GUAGACAUAACUUAAUCAAAGUAUUAGACUGUGACUCUAAAGAUAGAGACUNCAACCCCUCUUGUUUACC
rnacentral:tRNA from 1 species